rnacentral:rRNA from 1 species
AAGGUUUCCAGAGUAAAGCUGAUCUGCUCUGGGUAAGUCGGGGCCUAAGGAGAGGUCGCAAGACGUAUCCGAUGGACAACAGGUUUAGAUUCCUGUACCGCAUAUAAACAGAACUGUGGGGACGCAUGUGGAAAGCAUAAGCCGGGAAUGGAAAGACCGGUACAAGCGGGGUAGGUGUGUGACAGGCAAAUCCGUCAUAUAAGCCGAAGACGUGAUGUGGAGCGAAAUUAAGUAGUGAAGUAUGUGAGCCAUGUGCCGAGAAAAGCCGCUAUUGUUUUAUAUGUGCCCGUACCGUAAACCGACACAGGUGGAUGAGGAGAGAAUCCUAAGGCCGACGGAAGAAGCAUUGUUAAGGAAUUCGGCAAAAUGACCCCGUAACUUCGGGAGAAGGGGUGCCUGCGAGAGCAGGCCGCAGAGAAUAGGCUCAAGCAACUGUUUAGCAAAAACACAGGUCUAUGCGAAACCGAAAGGUGAAGUAUAUGGGCUGACGCCUGCCCGGUGCUGGAAGGUUAAGAGGAGAGGUUAGCGUAAGCGAAGCUUUGAAUUUAAGCCCCAGUAAACGGCGGCCGUAACUAUAACGGUCCUAAGGUAGCGAAAUUCCUUGUCGGGUAAGUUCCGACCCGCACGAAAGGCGUAAUGAUUUGAGCACUGUCUCGACAAUGCAUCCGGUGAAAUUGAAGUACCAGUGAAGAUGCUGGUUACCUGCGCCAGGACGGAAAGACCCCAUGGAGCUUUACUCCAGUUUGAUACUGGGAUUCGGUACUGCACGUACAGGAUAGGUGGGAGACUGAGAACUAUGGACGCCAGUCUGUAGGGAGUCGCUGUUGGGAUACCACCCCUGUAGUACUGGGUUUCUAACCAUCUGCCGUGAUCCGGCAGUGGGACAAUGUCAGGCGGGGAGUUUGACUGGGGCGGUCGCCUCCGAAAGGGUAUCGGAGGCGCUCAAAGGUUCCCUCAGAAUGGUCGGAAACCAUUUGAAGAGUGCAAAGGCAGAAGGGAGCUUGACUGCGACACCGACGGGUGGAGCAGGUACGAAAGUAGGACUUAGUGAUCCGGUGGUAUAAAGUGGGAUUGCCAUCGCUCAACGGAUAAAAGCUACCCUGGGGAUAACAGGCUUAUCACUCCCAAGAGUUCACAUCGACGGAGUGGUUUGGCACCUCGAUGUCGGCUCAUCGCAUCCUGGGGCUG